CUGCCUUUUACCCUCCAUCUCGUUCCGCGUUACUGUCCUGUCGUCCGACAGUUCUCCGGGAGGGUAGAACCUUGCCGUUUUCGCGCCAAGAUGAUGCAGAUAUCAGCAGUUGUUGGCCUAUAUUUCGUUGGCUUGUGUUACAAUACCACGUUUAAAACGAUUAAAAAAUAUGGGACGUCUUACUCUUUCGCACUUGCGUCUCGCUCGCUUUGCCUCAGAUCUUUCUUCCAUCGCAUCCGGAAAGAUUCCGAGAGGCGGUGACGACGAUGACGACGACGACGCAGUUUGAAAAAUUUUGACAAAUGUCAAAUUAUAGUAGUAUCAAAUUCAUUUAUGCAAAAACAUUAAUAAAAUAAGUAAAAGCCUUAGAUAAGUAAUAAUCAAUGAUAUCUAUAAAUUCUUAACUUUAUUCGUAGUAAUUAUGCGGAAUAGUUCCGAUUUGCAAAAUUUUCAUUAACUCCAAAACAAUUCUAUAAAGUAAAUAUGGCCAUUACAUGUUAAUUACAUAAUAGACUUCGCUUUGAGACAAUCUAAAGAAGAUCAACGUAGCUUUGUAUUGAUGUAGAUGAAUGUAUU